GAUGAACGCUGGCGGCGCGCCUAAUACAUGCAAGUCGAGCGAAUGGAUUAAGAGCUUGCUCUUAUGAAGUUAGCGGCGGACGGGUGAGUAACACGUGGGUAACCUGCCCAUAAGACUGGGAUAACUCCGGGAAACCGGGGCUAAUACCGGAUAACAUUUUGAACCGCAUGGUUCGAAAUUGAAAGGCGGCUUCGGCUGUCACUUAUGGAUGGACCCGCGUCGCAUUAGCUAGUUGGUGAGGUAACGGCUCACCAAGGCAACGAUGCGUAGCCGACCUGAGAGGGUGAUCGGCCACACUGGGACUGAAACACGGCCCAGACUCCUACGGGAGGCAGCAGUAGGGAAUCUUCCGCAAUGGACGAAAGUCUGACGGAGCAACGCCGCGUGAGUGAUGAAGGCUUUCGGGUCGUAAAACUCUGUUGUUAGGGAAGAACGAGUGCUAGUUGAAUAAGCUGGCACCUUGACGGUACCUAACCAGAAAGCCACGGCUAACUACGUGCCAGCCACCGCGGUAA
rnacentral:rRNA from 1 species